CUAAUUUUAGCAACUCCAAAGAAAAAGAGUAUAUUAACUACUAUAUGACUAUUCAUGACAGUAUAUACCUUGCUUUAUUUCAUUUCUUCAGCACCUUUCCUUCUACCUCUCAGCUCCUAUAGCAACUACUUUGUUGGAUCAAAUUAA